rnacentral:rRNA from 1 species
CAAUAGCGUAUAUUAAAGUUGUUGCGGUUAAAAAGCUCGUAGUUGGAUUUCUGCCGAGGACGACCGGUCUGCCCACUGGGUGUGUAUCUGGCUCGGCCUGGGCAUCUUCUUGGAGAACGUAUCUGCACUUGACUGUGUGGUGCGGUAUCCAGGACUUUUACUUUGAGGAAAUUAGAGUGUUUCAAGCAGGCACACGCCUUGAAUACAUUAGCAUGGAAUAAUAAGAUAGGACCUCGGUUCUAUUUUGUUGGUUUCUAGAACUGUGGUAAUGAUUAAUAGGGAUAGUUGGGGGCAUUCGUAUUUAACUGUCAGGGGUGAAAUUCUUGGAUUUGUUAAAGACGGACUACUGCGAAAGCAUUUGCCAAGGAUGUUUUCAUUGA